rnacentral:rRNA from 1 species
UGGGGAAUAUUGGACAAUGGGCGCAAGCCUGAUCCAGCCAUGCCGCGUGAGUGAUGAAGGCCUUAGGGUUGUAAAGCUCUUUCGGCGCAGAAUAUAAUGAACGUAUGCGCAGAAGAAGCCCCGGCUAAAUUCGUGCCAGCAGCCGCGGUAAUACGAAUGGGGCAAGCGUUGUUCGGAAUCACUGGGCGUAAAGCGUGCGUAGGCGGUCUUACAAGUCAGAAGUGAAAGCCCAGGGCUUAACCUUGGAAUUGCUUUUGAAACUGUAAGACUUGAGUACCGGAGAGGUUGGCGGAAUAUCCAGUGUAGAGGUGAAAUUCGCAGAUAUUGGAUAGAACACCAGUGGCGUAAGCGGCCAACUGGACGGUAACUGACGCUGAGGCACGAAAGCGUGGGGAUCAAA